AACAACAAAAAAAACCUGCGCCCGAUCCCAUCCGAUCUCGGAAGCUAAGCAGGACCGGGCCUGGUUAGUACUUGGACGGGAGACCGCCUGGGAAUACCAGGUUUUGUAGGCU
rnacentral:rRNA from 12 species